AGGGAAAGAGGGAGGGAGGAAGAACACAGGUAAGUCGAACGGUAGCACAGUAAGAGCUUGCUCUUACGGGUGGCGAGUGGCGGACGGGUGAGGAAUACAUCGGAAUCUACUUUUUCGUGGGGGAUAACGUAGGGAAACUUACGCUAAUACCGCAUACGACCUACGGGUGAAAGCAGGGGAUCUUCGGACCUUGCGCGAUUGAAUGAGCCGAUGUCGGAUUAGCUAGUUGGCGGGGUAAAGGCCCACCAAGGCGACGAUCCGUAGCUGGUCUGAGAGGAUGAUCAGCCACACUGGAACUGAGACACGGUCCAGACUCCUACGGGAGGCAGCAGUGGGGAAUAUUGGACAAUGGGCGCAAGCCUGAUCCAGCCAUACCGCGUGGGUGAAGAAGGCCUUCGGGUUGUAAAACCCUUUUGUUGGGAAAGAAAAGCAGCAGGUUAAUACCCCGCUGUUCUGACGGUACCCAAAGAAUAAGCACCGGCUAACUUCGUC
rnacentral:rRNA from 1 species